GUGUCAGCAGCCGCGGUAAUACGUAGGGGCCUAGCGUUGUCCGGAAUCAUUGGGCGUAAAGAGCUCGUAGGCGGCUUGGAAAGUCGGAUGUGAAAUCCCCGUGCUCAACGCGGGGCGGCCAUCCGAUACUGCCAUAGCUAGAGUCCAGUAGGGGAGUGUGGAAUUCCCGGUGUAGCGGUGAAAUGCGCAGAGAUCGGGAGGAACACCAGCGGCGAAGGCGGCACUCUGGGCUGGUACUGACGCUGAGGAGCGAAAGCGUGGGGAGCGAACAGGAUUAGAUACCCUGGUAGUCCACGCCGUAAACGUUGGGCACUAGGUGUGGGACCCUAUCGACGGGUUCUGUGCCGAAGCUAACGCAUUAAGUGCCCCGCCUGGGGAGUACGGCCGCAAGGCUAAA
rnacentral:rRNA from 1 species